GCUGGCAGCUAGCUCUCUGCAACUCUCACAUGGCUGCCCAUUAACGCUAAGCAGGCCUGCGCCAGUUCAGUACCUGGAUGGGAGACCACAUGGGAAAGCUAGGUUGCUGCCAGAA
rnacentral:rRNA from 1 species